AGAGCUUAGCCGAUUGGUGAACAGUCACUGAUUUCCUCUUUGUUCACAGUGGCUAAGUUCUGC
rnacentral:pre_miRNA from 1 species